rnacentral:lncRNA from 1 species
UGUAUAAACACUUUCUUCACACACACUUUAAUUUCCUCUACAUAAGUCCUCUUUUUCUCUCCCUAUUCUCUUACAUAGCACUCUUUCUUCCUCCCACCAUUCUCUUUUUAUUUUACUUUUCUCAAUUAACUUCCUUUCCACCUACCACAUUUUCUCUUCCUUUUUCAUUAAAUAUUGCAGUCCACACUAAAAAUACAUCUUAUUAUUCUUUAUUUUAUUUUUUUCUCUUCUUUAACUCCC